GUCAGAAGCCCUACCGUCUGCAGUUACUACAGAGUAGGUCAUCUAUCUGAAGUGAAGUAGGUUUGGGCCUGGUCAGUAGUGGGAGACCAAGUGGGAAAGCUGGGUUGCUGCUGGAG
rnacentral:rRNA from 1 species